rnacentral:lncRNA from 1 species
UAAAGGUCUUGUAAGAUACGGAGAAAAUACCAAGAAAUAAUAAACAAUCUUUAUGAUAUAAUAACGUACCAGGAAUUAUUUCCCGAUGUUAACUGUAAACAUUCAAUGUAGAUAGUGUAAUGAUAGUUUAAAACAUUUACUUUUAAAAACUUUCUUGCUGUCGUAGCAAAAAAAAUUAAUUCAGAUGUUUACAUGUAAAAUUUGUUUGAAUCACAUUAUGGUAUAUAUGUUACAGUGAAUAGGUGAAAUUAGGAAUUACAUGUAAUCACUAAAAUGUAGGGAUUACAUGUAAUUCCUGAAACUGUCCAGUUAUUACAAAAAUGUACCAGUAAUUACUAAUUUUAAAACGAAUUUUUACAGCUAUUUACUAACCUUGCCAACGACAUUUAUUCUUCUAUUCUUGUAAUACUUUAAGCAAAUAAUGCUUAUCAACACAUUAUUAUGUGAUUUAAGGAUAUUAGUUUAAAAAAAACCACACAAACAUAAUGUACCCUUGC